rnacentral:rRNA from 1 species
CCUACGAGAGGCAGCAGUGAGGAAUAUUGGUCAAUGGGCGGGAGCCUGAACCAGCCAAGCAGCGUGAGGGAAGAAGGUACAGCGUAUCGUAAACCUCUUUUGUCAGGGAACAAAGGCGGGGACUAGUCCCCGGAUGAGGGUACCUGAAGAAAAAGCAUCGGCUAACUCCGUGCCAGCAGCCGCGGUAAUACGGAGGAUGCGAGCGUUAUCCGGAUUUAUGGGGUGUAAAGGGUGCGCAGGCGGCCUGUUAAGGCAGCGGUAAAAGCACGGGGCUCAACCCCGGCGAGCCGGUGAAACUGGCGGGCUGGAGUUGGAGAGAAGUACGCGGAAUGCGCGGUGUAGCGGUGAAAUGCUUAGAUAUCGCGCAGAACCCCGAUUGCGAAGGCAGCGUACCGGCUCCACACUGACGCUGAGGCACGAAAGCGUGGGUAUUGAACAGGAUUAGAUACCCCGGUAGUC